AUUGAACGCUGGCGGCAUGCCUUACACAUGCAAGUCGAACGGCAGCGGACCUUCGGGUGCCGGCGAGUGGCGAACGGGUGAGUAAUAUAUCGGAACGUACCUUUCAGUGGGGGAUAACGUAGCGAAAGUUACGCUAAUACCGCAUAUUCUGUGAGCAGGAAAGCAGGGGAUCGCAAGACCUUGCGCUGAUUGAGCGGCCGAUAUCAGAUCAGCUAGUUGGUGAGGUAAAGGCUCACCAAGGCGACGAUCUGUAGCGGGUCUGAGAGGAUGAUCCGCCACACUGGAACUGAGACACGGUCCAGACUCCUACGGGAGGCAGCAGUGGGGAAUUUUGGACAAUGGGCGCAAGCCUGAUCCAGCCAUGCCGCGUGAGUGAAGAAGGCCU
rnacentral:rRNA from 1 species